AAGCGCCCCGCCUGGGGAGUACGAUCGCAAGAUUAAAACUCAAAGGAAUUGACGGGGCCCCGCACAAGCAGCGGAGCAUGCGGCUUAAUUCGACGCAACGCGAAGAACCUUACCAAGGCUUGACAUAUACAGGAAUACGGCAGAGAUGUCGUAGCCGCAAGGUCUGUAUACAGGUGGUGCAUGGUUGUCGUCAGCUCGUGUCGUGAGAUGUUGGGUUAAGUCCCGCAACGAGCGCAACCCUCGUUCUGUGUUGCCAGCAUUUAGUUGGGGACUCACAGGAGACUGCCGGGGUUAACUCGGAGGAAGGUGGGGAUGACGUCAAAUCAUCAUGCCCCGUAUGUCUUGGGCUGCACGCAUGCUACAAUGGCUGGUACAAACGGCUGCGAUACCGCAAGGUGGAGCGAAUCCGAGAAAGCCAGUCUCAGUUCGGAUUGGGGUCUGCAACUCGACCCCAUGAAGUCGGAGUUGCUAGUAAUCGUAGAUCAGCAACGCUACGGUGAAUACGUUCCCGGGGCUUGUACACACCGCCCGUCACAUCACGAAAGUCGGUAACACCCAAAGUCAGU
rnacentral:rRNA from 1 species